rnacentral:lncRNA from 1 species
GAUGGAGCGGUCCAGUUUUUACAGCACUUGUUUUGGUACUGCCCAUAUGCUUUUUUUAUUUAUUUGAUAAGUCAUAGUUAAUCGAUCAAUAAUAUAAUACUAUUAACAAAGCUGUUCAUCUUUUUAAUUUACAUUCUGUAGAAACUAUGAACAUUUAAAUGUUCCGAACUUUUGUGAAACAGCACAGUGGAAAAAUAUAGGGGAGAUAGAUGGAGGGGUUGAGGGCAGCUAGAAAUGAACUGGAUGGUGUUCAGAGAUAGAUGGAGGGAUGGGAGCUGAAGGAUGUGACUAAAAACAACAAGAUAACUAAUGUAAAAUACACUGUCUGAAAUGUUUAGUAGAAAGUGGAAGCCUAAGUAGUAUUGUUCAUUAGUUUACAAUUAGGAGAGGGGUGGUACAGUUAGGGGACAAUAAUAAAGAAGGAAGAUGGAUAUUUUAUACAUUUAUCUAUGAAAUUUAUGCAGAAAAUAAUUUGAUCCACCUGCAAAAAAAAAUAAUCCAAAUCAGACCUUUUUGAAGUCAGAAUAUACAAUCAAACACACCACACACACAAUGGCUUCUGGGCUCUGCUCUUCGGGAUGAUGGCGACAUGGGGUUGGAGGCAGGAAGUGAUGGAAUGAUGUCAUCAGUCCCUAAGGACGUUGGCUAAUGGAGGGAGGAAAGUUGGCCCAUUUUUAUUCUCCUCGUCCUAGUUGUGUUCACUCGUUCCCCGUCCUCCCUCAUCCCCGAUUCAGUUCUCUUACAUUUCACUCUGCUGCUCUGUAGAUGGAGUAAGGAGAGAGGUUAACUAUCAGAGUGGGGUUAGAGAGAAAGGCUUGCAGAGUGUUCUCUCCUGCCCUGGCUCUGUAGAGGAGUAAGGAGAGAGGUUAACUAUCAGAGUGGGGUUAGAGAGAAAGGCUUGCAGAGUGUUCUCUCCUGCCCUGGCUCUGUAGAGGAGUAAGGAGAGAGGUUAACUAUCAGAGUGGGGUUAGAGAGAAAGGCUUGCAGAGUGUUCUCUCCUGCCCUGGCUCUGUAGAGGAGUAAGGAGAGAGGUUAACUAUCAGAGUGGGGUUAGAGAGAAAGGCUUGCAGAGUGUUCUCUCCUGCCCUGGCUCUGUAGAGGAGUAAGGAGAGAGGUUAACUAUCAGAGUGGGGUUAGAGAGAAAGGCUUGCAGAGUGUUCUCUCCUGCCCUCUGUUUCACUGGCUGCGAUGCAGCUCGUGGAUGUGUUCCACUCUAUUGUUCUGCUCUGGCUCAGUGAAUUACAGAUUGUCCCAAAUGG